rnacentral:lncRNA from 10 species
UACCAUUCAGAUUUCCUCGUCUGUAAACAUUAAGUAUCUACAUUCACUAAAAGUAGUUCUGAAUGAAUGUUAUUUAAUGGUGCCAAUGAUGUUGGAGGAUACCUGUGCAUCUCAUGCUGUGGUUACAGCAUCAAUUGUGAUGAAUAUAGGAUACUGAGUCCCUCCUAGAAAUGACUUCAGGAACUUCACCCCCCAACUCCACAAUCUGGGAAUGGCAGACAGAUUCAGCACCAGGAGAACAUCACAUAAAGGACAAGUGUGUAUGUUUAAAAAUGGCAAGUUUCGGCCUGGCAUGGUGGCUCACGUCUAUAAUCCCAGCACUUUGGGAGGCUGAGUCUAAGUGUACAGUGCUUGUAAAGUCUGCAGUAGCAUACAGUAAUGUCCAAGGCUUUCACAUCCACUCACCACUCGCUCACUGACCCAGCCAGAGCAACUUCCAGUCCUGAAAGCUGCAUUCAUGUAUAGUUUGAGGGUAUCCAGCCUCAGAUUAUCUGAGGAUGUAGCUCAAGAUUUCCUAAUUUUGCAAACAGCAAGCUUCCCAGGAGAUUCUUAGAUUCCUGCUAACAAAAGGCGGAGACUCACUGGACAGUUACUGAAGAUAGACAGUAGGGGGCGGAAGGGCCCACGCUUCUUUGAUAUUGGUGGCUUUGGUUUUUCAGUGACGGGGGACACUUUGACUUCAGUUCCUUUUUACGACUUUUGGUAGUGAAGAGAUAAAGUUCAUUACAAAACAUGCCAGGCUUAAGCAAUUUUCCAAAGGGAUUAACGAAUUGCAGUGGCCGCAGGCUAUGUAAAAAUUUUUAAAAGGUGGUGUCUCUCAUAUUCUUCAGCAUAACUUGGGUCACAGAAACCCAGGCAUAAAAAUUCAUUGUGAACUCAUAUUCUACCAUGGCCUGACACUCUUCUCAAGCUGCCCCAUGUCUCAAAAGCAUUGCAUGAGAUUCUCAACCAUAAGGGAUGGUCAAAAUUAGUGUCACAUAAGAAGACUCAAUCACCACAAUUGCAAUCAAAAGACGGCUUUAGUUGGAACCUGGAACGUGCUAAUCCUGUCAGGCAGCCUGUGAUUCUGGAAGUGAAGGAACAAAAAAAAAAAAAAAAAGGGAAAAUUUCACAUAAAAUUUCCAUAUGAGGAAGAAGAUGGAAACUUUUGUGUUGUGCGUUCAGUAAAACGGGCACUUUCUUAAGCAGGUGGCAAAGAAAGCCUGAGAAUCCGGCCUGACUUUUUCAUUUCAGAACCCUGCAUUUCCCACACAGAGGAGAUAGAGCACAGCCAUUGCAUGGUAGAUCCAGCUUGCUCUCACAGCCAUUGUGCAAAUAAACAUACAUGUGGCAAGGCAGUGCAGUUUUCAGUUGUUAAAAGUUCUGUCAUGC